UACAGAGGAGCCAAGCGUUGUCCGGAUUGACUGGGCGUAAAGCGCACGCAGGCGGUUGCGCGCGUGGGGUGUGAAAUCUGGCCGCUUAACGGCCAGGCGCCAUCCCAUACGGCGCGACUGGAGUGAUGCAGAGGUCGAUGGAAUUGCCGGUGUAGUGGUGAAAUGCGUAGAGAUCGGCAGGAACACCCAGGGGGAAACCAGCCGACUGGGCAUCUGCUGACGCUGAGGUGCGAGAGCGUGGGGAGCGAACCGG
rnacentral:rRNA from 1 species